CGGAGUGUGUGUGAGGAUUUGAAUGAGAAAGCAGGUUGUGGUGGCGGCGACCCAUUCUGUCCUGCCCGUCUCUGGGGAUCUACUGGCUGGUGUGCAGACGUGUCCUUCUGGGGGGCUUUUCUGCUCCUCCACAGGGUUUUGGAGUUGGAGUCACAGGGACCAAUAACUCAUCAAGCGGGGAGGACUCAGAGGAAUCCAUCUCUCGAGCACCCAAAGUUGAGCAGGGCAAUUUGGUUUUGAUGCUGUGCCAGCAAUCUUCUGACAAUGAGUUACUGGAACUUGGAGAAAAGGAACUGUGUGCAGUACCGCAGGCAUUUUCUGGUGGACAACAGUCUGUUUCAUGUGGUCAUGUAUGGAUGUGAGAGUUGGCCUGUGA